ACUGGAUGUAUUUCUGUCAUCACACAAAAGGUGAGGUUUUGAAGCUUGAACACAUUGAUGAUUAAAGCAGAGUCCUACCUGAGCUCCACAGCAACAGCAACAGCAUCAGCAGGAGAUCCAUGACCAGCCGUGAAAAAAACCAAGUGAUCCGCCUCUUCUCAGAAGUGAUGCGUGCACCUCUACACAAACACACACAUCUCUACACACACACAC